CCGGCGUUGGAAGAACCGGAAUGGCCACCGUCGCCCUUCAUCCUAAACGUCUUCUCAUCAGCCACGGGGAGGUGGGGGAAGAGAUCGUUCCACCGCGAAGGCGAAGCCGCGGGAACGAUUGCCGCCAUGGAAUUGGUUCCACAGUGGGCGCAACAUCGCUACGGCGUGUUCUGGCAGGGUGCGCUAGCUCUAUGUUCACUGCGAAAGUGAUUUUGUCACAAGAAUAUCAUUGUCAGACAAUAAGUACCGGGUAAUCAAACCGCCUCAAGGUAUUGAAACGUGUAGAAUUCCACAGCUUCAUCUAGGGAAGUCUGAGAAAGGGAUUUACUGCGCAUUACUCGACUAUAAUAAUCGUCUUCGGGUCUGGACCCUUGGCGGAUCGUCGUGUGACCAAAGUGAGUGGAUAUGGAACCACUAUAGCAGCUUUCGCCCUGUAACGUUGCUGCCACGUCUGAACUGUCUCAACAAGUUCAUGACCCAUGGAUUUUACACAACAGCAAAAGCCAUGACAUUAGAUCAUUUACGAGGAGGAAUUCGAUUUCCAAUGGGAUUCAGAAGAAGGUAAUACUGUCCACACUGGGCAUUAUCCGAUGGAAGGAUCCUGUGAUAAAUAUAUUGAGAUUCUUGGUUUUCACCCUUAUAAAGAGAUCAUCUUCUUGCAUAGCUCGCGGGGCAGAGGAUUGGCAUAUCAUUUGGACAGCUCCAAACUUGAGGAUUUGGGCAACAUGCGGCCACAUAAUUUAUCCGAAAUAAAUAGUUACAUAGAAACAUGUUUUCCA